UACAGAGGUCUCAAGCGUUGUUCGGAUUCAUUGGGCGUAAAGGGUGCGUAGGCGGCGCGGUAAGUCGGGUGUGAAAUCUCGGAGCUUAACUCCGAAACUGCAUUCGAUACUGCCGUGCUUGAGGACUGGAGAGGAGACUGGAAUUUACGGUGUAGCGGUGAAAUGCGUAGAUAUCGGGAGGAACACCAGUGGCGAAGGCAGCUCGCUGGGACGGUACUGACGCUGAGGCGCGAAAGCGUGGGGAGCAAACAGG
rnacentral:rRNA from 1 species